rnacentral:rRNA from 1 species
AUGACAGAACACAACCUCACAAUUCUGAAUUGGAAUGUCAGAGGUCUAAAUUGCCCGAACCGUCGCUCCAUCGUUCAUGAAACGAUUGCUGCUACUCCUUGCCACAUCGAUUGCUUACAAGAAUCCAAGAUGGAGAAUGCAGACUCCCUCACUGCUGCUCACAUUGGAGGUCAGAGGCUCAAAAGUUUUGCCCAACGACCGGCAGAUGGUACCCGUGGUGGCAUCCUUCUGCUAUGGGAUGAGGAUGUGGUCCAGCUAUCAAACGUGCAUUUUGGGACCUACUACCUCUCGGCCUUCGUUACCCUGCGCUCCCAGACUGACAACUCCACCUCCUUCAAGCUGACCGCUGUCUACGGCCCUACCCGUGGCAAUCUCAAGGACGCCUUCUUUGGCGAGCUUGUGUCCGAAAAGCCUCCCCCGGGCACCAUGUGGCUGGUUACGGGUGACUUCAACCAAAUCUAUCGAGCAAGAGAUAAGAAUCGCGCAAAUGCCAAUUGCAGCCGCAUUGUCCGUUUUAGAAACGCCCUGAACUCCUGUGAGUUAAAAGAGAUCCAUCUGCAAAACAAGAGAUUCACGUGGAGCAACGGUCAAAGUGAUCCUACAUUAAGCAAACUUGAUAGCUUCUUCUGCAAUGAGGAAUGGGACUUGGAGUUCGGUUUGCACAUCCUGCAUGCCCUUUCUUCCUCUCUGUCCGACCAUUGUCCGCUCCUGCUUGCAAAUGCGAAUGGCCCAAAACGUUCCAAGUGCUUUCGUUUUGAGAACUUCUGGAUUAUUAUGCCUGGGUUUCUGUCCACAGUCCAAGCGGCAUGGAAUGAAGACCAUAACCAUGUCGAGCCCUACCACGUUCUCCAUCACAAGCUCAAGAAAACUAGUAUCAGACUUAAAUCUUGGAGCAGAACACUUUUCUCUAAUGUCAAGGUCCAGCUCCAUAUGGCCCUGGAGGUCAUCCUUCGCCUUGAUAUUGCGCAUGAAUCUAGAUCCCUGAGCCCCGCCGAGCUUGAUCUCCGAAAGAGGCUUAAGAGGCGUGUCGUUGGCCUGGCCGUGCUAGAGAAGGCUCAGAAACGGCAAAUGUCAAGGAUCACGAACAUCAAAGAAGGAGACGCC